CGGCACACGCCGGGGGAGCUAACAGGCCCCAGACUCGAUGGCCCUUGUGGGACCGUAAUCGACGGUGCCGAUGUUGUCGGUGCCUCAGAGGCUUAGGUUGG